CCCUUAGAUGUUCUGGGCUGCACGCGCGCUACACUGAAGCGUUCAACGAGUAUUAACCUUGAUCUGACGGUCUGGGUAAUCUUCAAACUGUAUCGUGUUAGGGAUCGAUUCUUGCAAUUUUUAAUCGUAAACGAGGAAUUCCUAGUAAACGCAAGUCAUCAGCUUGCAUUGAUUACGUCCCUGCCCUUUGUACACACCGCCCGUCGACUCUACCGAUUGAAUGGUUCGGUGAAAACUUUGGACUGUGGCAUUGUCCUUCAUUGGACUUCGCCGUAGGAAAUUGUUUAAACCUCAUCAUUUAGAGGAAGAAUAAGUCGUAACA
rnacentral:rRNA from 1 species